AGUGGGAUGGCUGAGGGAGAAAUAGGCGAUAGGCUGUAAAUCUAUUUAGGAGUAUAAAUUGCUCUUCCACUA
rnacentral:tRNA from 1 species